rnacentral:rRNA from 1 species
CACGUGAGUAAUCUGCCCUCCACUCUGGGAUAACGUUCAGAAAUGGGUGCUAAUACCGGAUGUACACAUGUUGACGCAUGUUGGUGUGUGGAAAGGGUUUCUGGUGGGGGAUGUGCUCGCGGCCUAUCAGCUUGUUGGUGGGGUAAUGGCCUACCAAGGCUUUGACGGGUAGCCGGCCUGAGAGGGUGACCGGCCACACUGGGACUGAGACACGGCCCAGACUCCUACGGGAGGCAGCAGUGGGGAAUAUUGGACAAUGGGCGGAAGCCUGAUCCAGCAACGCCGCGUGAGGGAUGACGG